CUGGACACUCUCAGCCUGCAGCCUGCUGGAGAACGAUGGUUGACACCAGGUCUGAGGAAGUAUGCCUGUGAACUGGAACUGGAUCCAAACACAAUGAA